UUGACCUCAAAUCAGGUAGGACUACCCGCUGAACUUAAGCAUAUCAAUAAGCGGAGGAAAAGAAACUAACAAGGAUUCCCCUAGUAACUGCGAGUGAAGCGGGAAAAGCUCAAAUUUAAAAUCUGGCGGUCCUUGUGGCCGUCCGAGUUGUAAUUUAGAGAAGUGUUAUCCGCGCUGGACCGUAUACAAGUCUCCUGGAAUGGAGCGUCAUAGAGGGUGAGAAUCCCGUCUUUGAUACGGACUGCCAGGGCAUUGUGAUGCGCUCUCAAAGAGUCGAGUUGUUUGGGAAUGCAGCUCAAAAUGGGUGGUAAAUUCCAUCUAAAGCUAAAUAUUGAGGAGAGACCGAUAGCGAACAAGUACCGUGAGGGAAAGAUGAAAAGAACUUUGGAAAGAGAGUUAAACAGUACGUGAAAUUGCUGAAAGGGAAACGCUUGAAGUCAGUCGCGUUGUUCAGGACUCAGCCUUGCUUUGCUUGGUGUACUUCCUGUUCGACGGGUCAGCAUCAAUUUUGGUCGGUGGAUAAAGGCUUAGAGAAUGUGGCAUCCUCGGAUGUGUUAUAGCUCUGGGUCGCAUACAUCGGCUGGGAUUGAGGAACUCAACACG
rnacentral:rRNA from 1 species